CUGGUGGUCCACUAAGAGCAGAUGCAUCCCUCUGCAGAUCGGGAGACGGUGUUGACGAAACAAGCAAUUUUGGAGAGCCUUGCUUAGGAGUAGCAGGCGUGGGUGUAGAAGCAUUUCUUUGAGCUGCAGUCCUCUGACGAAUUUCUUGUCCAGGUCUCGAGGUUGCAGAUGUUCCAGCAGAUGGCAGUUCAGCCUCCUUUGCAUUUGAAUCUGGAUCAAACCUUUCAAGAAUUAGUUUAGCAGUCUUGUAAGUUUCCUUCUCCAUCACUUCCUCAAGUAUUUUUUUCUUUUGAGAUUUUAAAUCUUCC
rnacentral:lncRNA from 1 species